GAUGAACGCUGGCGGCGUGCUUAACACAUGCAAGUCGAACGGAAAGGCCCAAGCUUGCUUGGGUACUCGAGUGGCGAACGGGUGAGUAACACGUGGGUGAUCUGCCCUGCACUUCGGGAUAAGCCUGGGAAACUGGGUCUAAUACCGGAUAGGACCACUCUUGGGCUGUUUGGUGGAAAGUUUUUUUGGGUGGGGAUGAGGCUGCGGCCUAUCAGCUUGUUGGUGGGGGAAUGGCCUACCAAGGCGUCGGCGGGUAGCCGGCCUGAGGGGGUGUACGGCCACAUUGGGACUGAGAUACGGCCCAGACUCCUACGGGAGGCAGGAGUGGGGAAUAUUGCACAAUGGGCGCAAGCCUGAUGCAGCGACGCCGCGUGGGGGAUGACGGCCUUCGGGUUGUAAACUCCUUUCGCUAGGGACGAAGCGUUUUGUGACGGUACCUGGAGAAGAAGCACCGGCUAACUACGUG
rnacentral:rRNA from 1 species